AUGUAGAAGAAAAAUUUGGAAAAAAGACUUGCUCAAAGACCUGUAGCUGUUAAGACUGCUACAAUUACUGCUAGAGGUAAAGAUAUUGCUUAUCAACAAGCAGUGAGAAAGAGCAUGAGGAGAGGAAAUUUACCUUCUAGGAUAUUGAAAUCGUCAUUCACAACGAAAUUUGGUUCGACAAGGCCAAAGAAGAAAAAAAUACAGUUGAAUAGUCAAGGAUUUGAAUCACCAAGUUUUAAAUUGCUCUCUCAAGGACGGUAGAACAUUGUGUUUGCUAAUAACUAAAAAAAAAAUAAAGAACAACUUUUGAGAUUUGGAUUUGAAGGAACAACUUUGAAAUUUAGAAUCUAGCAAUUUGGAUUAUGUUAUUUGCAGGAAAAUUUGGACGGUAGUAAUAUGAUAAUAGACUUUUUGACUGA